CUGUACGCGCGCGCGCUGUGAUACCUGCGCCGCGCUCGCGCAGUGUGGGGGCUGGGUGUUGCCGCGUCCUGUAACAGUCCGAGCGGAGCAGGGGAACAGCCCCCGCCGGAGCGCGCGGCAAGCGGGGGGGGCUGAGUGGCCGGGCCGGUGAAGCCGGCGGUGCGAUGAACCCCUGGUCCUGCCCUAUCCGGUCACUGGCGGUUGGAAACUGGCCCCAGGUGCCUAGCGCCCGCCUGGCCCCGCUGUACCCGGCACGUAACGUUCUCCUAACGGGUCCAUCGUAAUUGAAACCCAUGGAGGAGGAACAGUGGAGAGCUCCUUGAUGGAUGUCAGGACAGAAGAAGCGGACCAGGAACCCUCUGGAUGGUGAUGUUCUUCAGGUGCAGGACAGGAAAUGUCUACUCCUGACAACUGGUGUUGGAAUCAGGUGCAACCAUGGAUGAAAACAGUCUAAUUGCAAGUGUGGAUAGAAUGAACAUAGUUUGAAGAUCUGUCUGAUGCAAGUUAAUAUACAGGAAAUGUUACUCACUAUUUGGGUCUAUAAAAAGGAGAGUUUCAAAAGUUGUUGCAAAGCAGACUGAAAGUACAGAUUUCCAGACUCAAGAUGCAUCCUGGAGCUGGUCACAAAAAAUUCUGCAGUGUGAUUAUGUUUCAUGCCUAUUCAUUAUCAAAUAUUACUCUAUACCUAAGAGGUUUAUACCAGACUCAACUAAUCAAAGAAAAAUUAUAGCAAAAGCAAGCAACCAGCUAUAAAGAAAAGUGUGUACAAUUCAAGUCAAUGCCAGCCAUUGAGAAGAGUUAAGUAAACAAGAUGGUCUUUGCGUGCCAUGAGGCAGGAACCACAAAACAUGUAUAAACCUAACGAUUGCCUGAACUAUUUUUUUAUAAACUAAAUGAGCAAGGAAUCAAUAAGCCCAAUCCUAGACUAGCAAGACAGUUUGGCCUUUCAAGCUAUUGUUCCCAAUUACUUUGUAUUAAUAAGACUUUAAAAAAAAAAAUCACCACGUGUGUUUGAUGCUGUCCUAACAUUAAUCACACCACAUAAAAGAAAACCAGAAAAAGAAUUUCACAGUACUAUAUGUGACAACUCCUGGGCAGAAAUUCAAGCCACCACAUUCUCCCCAUCAUGGAGAAAGUUUCAGUGGAAAGUUAUCAUAUUAUUUUCUACACUGCAGUAAUCACCAACUGAAACUCGAACAGCCAGAACCCCUGCUGAAUGUGGAUGUGGAAAGUAGGUAACCUAAAACAUUUCCUGGGACUGUCGCCCAUGCCCAAAAUUUUGGUCACAAAUACAUGAAGUUUACAGAAAAUUAAAAGUAAACUUGGAUGUGAACACAGUCCACUGAACUCUGGAAAAUACUCAACUAAAUCUGAAAACAAAGAUUUUUUCAGAUUAACAGGUGCAAGCAAAUGCAUCAAAAUGCUAAACUUACAAGAAACGAUAGCAAACAGAUCACAACCAAAGUCGUUUUAAGGAGCAUUAGAGUUUAGCCGGAGAGCUACUUCUAAUGUGCAACAAAGAAAUGAAACAAUAACCUUGAAUUAAGAUUACACUGCUUUCUGUUUAGAAAGAUGUCCCUUUCUCUAUAUCUUAAAUAUGUGUUUUUA